rnacentral:lncRNA from 1 species
CAUUGGUGAGGUGGCCUCAUCUUGUGUUUAGCUAGCUGACUACCUCCCAAACAGUAGCUCUGAUUGGUGUCCUUGAGUGGAGUUCAUCAGGCUUAGUUUUUUCAGAACCUCAUACUAGGCCUACAUCCUCUUUAUGAGGUGAAAAGUAAGAGCUUUAUCUAUGAAGCCAUCUAGUUUCCCUAGGAGAGUUUAAAGGAGAGGAAAAAAUAAAAAAGAAAAACUCUUGUAGUUAAGGUUGGGUAAACUAGAAUUAGCAUAAACUUUCAUUAGUAUAUUCCUCUGAAAAAGCGAUGUAUUGCUGAAAAUGGAGGAAAUAUGUGCUUCCAAGAAAUUCCUUGUAGACACUUUAUGCUUUUGAAUUAUAGACCACACACUUUCUAGUGGCUUUUACUAGUGUGUAAUGCUACUUCUCAGGGCAUAGUAUAUUGUAGUGAAUUAGGGUACAUUUUUAUGGUUUAUAAUUAUCAAUUUUAAAUAAAAAAAAAAAAGCUAAACAUAUAAUAACCAGCUUUUAAGGUUUUUGGUUGGUUUUUUUUGGUCUAGGAAAGUGUUUUGUAUCUACCCAUAUGCUAAUACUGUACCUAAUGGUUCACACUAGACUGUACCAUCAUCUAUCUCAUCUGCAUCAUAUUGUUAUUCUGUAUCUUAAAUUGCUGUUGCAGUCUUAUGGGAAGCUCCUGAUAGUUGCUGGGUUUCUUCUCUGCAUUCCCGAGUACUAUUCAGUAGGGUAGUCACUAUCUCACAAAGACAUAUGUUGUAAUGAGGGGGAAGCUUUUUACAAUAUUUCUGUUGAUGCACUAUGUAUCUUAGAUUUAUUUUUUUAAAGAGCUUUUGCUGGGAGUGUGAAUACUAGAAUUGCAAAAGCUUUUAGUUCUUGGUAGCUGGCUGAUGCUUAUGUACAGUACAGCUAUUCUGAAGAGUAGGACUCUUACCUGAAGUCUAGUUUAUUAACCAUCUUUAUCUGCACCAUUUGUUAAUCCUACUGUAUAUAGAUGGACGUAGGGAGAACCCACAGUGAGGUGCAUAUUUUCUUCAUGGUACACUUUCUUAACAGAAUAUGGUGAAACAAAGAGCAUUUCUUGGAUGAGGUGCUCCUGUAUGUUCAUUGUGAAUAAAGAUAUGAAAUUGGUACA